UUUACAAAUUUUCAGGAAGUUUUAAAAAUUUGACUACUUCUCGUGGAUCUCCUUAAUACUGCUUAAAUCUAUAAAACUGCAAAAUGUAAUCGUUUAAAUCCGUACCAGUUAAUUAUAAUCAACGAAAAAUUCUUAAAACUGAAGAGAGAGCAAUCAGCUGUUAGAUCUGAAGCCGCCAUUGAAGAUAUCAACCCGCGGGAUUUUCAAAAAUCUUGAAUAUUGACGGGAAUUUUUAAAUGAAGUCUUAAAAAUUUGACUCCUUCGCGUGGAUCUCCUUAAAAUUAGCUCGGAAAAUAAAAAGAAAAUAUAAAAAGAAUUACAAGUUAAAUAAUAUGACACACUUAUGAUAACUCCGCCAUCUUGUCUUAUGAAUAUAUAAGCCAGGCAUAUGAGCACAAAAGUAAACGACGAUCGAAAUGCGGAAAAACGCUUCUGGAAAUUAGAAUUGCAAAUUUCAUUUUCUUAAUGGGGCGGCAGCGCCUGUGGAACCUUGAAAUGCCUUACAUUUUCUUGAGCCUUCAACCUGGGAGCCAGCCCGGUUAACCAUUCCAUGCAGGUCAGAUCGUUUAGCAAUGAUAAAAAAUAUCGUAAAUUUUAAAAUACGGAGAAGAGAAGUGAAGGAAGACGAGGGAAGAAAUAAAAAAAAGUUAUAAAGUAUUGUAUACUUAAUUAUUAAUGAGGAAACUGAAACCGAGGAGAUGACUAAGUCUCAGAGUGGACUUCUGGACAGUUGGACAGUUCUAGACAAACUUGUGGCAAGUCUGGAAUAGAUACCGGAGUCUACUGAUAACUUCAGUUGGUAAUUCUCCGAUGUCUUAUGUCCCGGAAUCAACUUUGUGACGGGUGUCUUUAUCUAAUUAUACUUUUCUUUAUACAAUCUAAUCACAACUCGAUUACCAUGUUAUUGAUUUAUCUCUUUGUUUAAAAAUAUAUAAAAGAAGAUAAAAGGA